rnacentral:rRNA from 1 species
GACGAACCGUGCGAACGUUGUUCGGAAUCACUGGGCUUAAAGGGCGCGUAGGCGGGCUGACAAGUCUGGGGUGAAAUGCCGCGGCUCAACCGUGGAACUGCCUUAGAUACUGUCGGCCUCGAGGAAGGUAGGGGCAUGCGGAACUGUAGGUGGAGCGGUGAAAUGCGUUGAUAUCUAUCGGAACGCCGAAGGUGAAAACAGGCAGCUGGGCUUGUCCUGACGCUGAGGUACGAAAGCGUGGGGAGCAAACGGG